CGUCCCAGUUCGGAUUGUAGUCUGCAACCCGGCUACAUGAAGCUGGAAUCGCUAGUAAUCGCGGAUCAGAAUGCCGCGGUGAAUACGUUCCCGGGUCUUGUACACACCGCCCGUCACACCAUGGGAGUCGGAAAUGCCCGAAGUCUGUGACCCAACCUCAGGGAGGGAGCAGCCGAAGGCAGGUCGGAUGACUGGGGUGAAGUCGUAACAAGGUAAC
rnacentral:rRNA from 1 species